GCAGGAUGUCCUGGUGCAUGCUGCUGUGGUGCCUGGAUUCUGUGGCUCUGGUGGCUGAAGCCUGGUUGUGCCAGCAUGCUUUGUUUCACUCAGCACAGAAGAUGUCAAGCGCUGGAAAAGCUCAGGCAAGGAGAAGUGACAUGGCUUCCCCAAGGUGAUGUGCUGAGUUGGUGUCAAACCAGGAGGAAGAUGCUGUGUUUCCUGCCUGCUGUGUGGGUGCUGUGUCUCAUCAUGUUGGCAAGGCUUUCAUCUCCAAAGAGUUGCAUUGGAUGCACUGCUUGAACCCAGACUCUGGAAGCAGGCAUUUCUCUUGGCUUGGAAAUCAAAAAGAGAGUAGAAUACAGAGGCUCUGCUCCUUCCAGACAGCCAUCACUACAUUGCUACAUUGUGAUGACCCAGACUGCUCCAUGAUAUGGUGAAGAACAAAGACUGUAUGGCUGUCACCUAAGUGUCCUGGAAAGGAUGCUAAAAACUAACCAGAUUGGUGGGAUGACUUGAUGAUACCACCCAUACUCAUCUUCAGUACCCUUGGUGCUACUGUAACUAGUGUUGUGUGGCAAAGGGAAUUGCACCCACUGCAGCUUCUUGACUGCCCUGAGUUUCAGCAACUCAUUUGUGAAUUAUCACUGUGCAAAGCAAGGACUUCCUAUUAUAUCUUUUGUCAAGUUUUCCCACACACCACUUGCCACCAGAAUCACACCAACAUCCAUCAGAAAGUGAGAAUGCGUGUUAAAAAAGGCCGUUGGCUGCUUUCAGGAAUGAAGAACUGGUACCAAUUUACAGUUUCCUGUCAGGGAGCCUGACAAGUAUCAUGGAGAAACUGAUGGAACAAUUGGCAUCGACUGCAUGGAGUUCAGCUCCAGCAUGAAACUCUGAGUGCACUUGCAGCACCUAUGGCUCCCUAUGUAGCUGCCUGUGAAACCUGAGCUGCCUUCCUUCCAGCCCCAUUCCAUCCAGGUUGUCCUUCCUUUCUUUGUUCACUAAAUUUCUUGUUGACUAAAUCUGCUGGGACAAACGCAUAACUGGUGCUUGAAUCUUCAGACAAAAGCAAGCACAGAUAUCUGCCUUUGCUGCUUUGAAAUAUACAUCCUCUUUCUCUGCAUACCAAGAAUCUGUGCCCUGAAUGGACUCCGGGAGGGCAGAAAGAGGCUUGCUGUCUGCAAGGCCUGGUUAAUAUGCCCCUGACUGGCCGGCUUUGUGCCUUCUCUUCAGCUCCUUGUGAAUGAGAAUGGCCUGCUGGCAGGUAGCCUAAGGGCUAGAUAUGGCUCGCUGUGAAAGGAUGAACUGCGAAACAGAAGCAGGAA